UACGUAGGGGGCGAGCGUUGUCCGGAGUUACUGGGCGUAAAGCGCACGCAGGCGGUCUGCUAAGUUUGGAGUGACAGUUGGUGGCUUAACUGCCAAAGUGCUUCGAAAACUGACAGACUUGAGGGCUUCAGAGGGACACGGAAUUCCGGGUGGAGUGGUGAAAUGCGUAGAUAUUCGGAAGAACACCAGUGGCGAAGGCGACUUACUGGACACAUAUUGACGCUGAGGUGCGAAAGCGUGGGGAGCAAACAGG
rnacentral:rRNA from 1 species